rnacentral:tRNA from 1 species
GGGCCGUUAGCUCAGUCUGGUAGAGCAGCUGACUCUUAAUCAGUUGGUCGAGGGUUCAAAUCCUUCACGGCCCA